UUAAUUGAAGCCAAAACCCCCGAGGCCCCCCAUUGUUAAUGGGGAAAUUGACUUUCAGUCCAAUUAAG
rnacentral:tRNA from 1 species